rnacentral:sRNA from 1 species
AGAACGCCGAAAAUACCGAAUCUUACUCACCGGCUUCCAGCGUCGUCACACUGUCAUAUUAUUGUUCUACAUGCGAGAAUGAGACAGGUCCAAGGGAAAUCUUCAGCAGUAUUGCGCAAUCAGAAAAUGAUGGCGGCAUGGAAGAUUUGUCGCUGGAAGAGAGAGCGAACGAUACAAAACGACUUGUCAUCGGGCGCAUGAAUGAAAUCACCUUGAAUUUCGUGCAGUCAUCCUGUGCACCCCGAUUGGGAACAGGCAUAAUGACGGGUUGAUGGUUGGCUGCUGCUGUCAAAGUGCAAACGCGAUAAAAACCCGGCUUCCCAAGGCCCCCUUCAAGCGUCGCUGUGAAAUCGUCAGUUUUAUUCACGGCAUGCGGACCGUUGACGCUCUUGAACCAAGUCGGAUUGCUCGCGUCUAAGGCUUGAAUAGCUGUAGUGUUGGGCCCCAUAAACUGAACAGUGAGAUGUGUGUGACCUCGUACGAGUCCUUCACAAUUUAGCGACUGUGGUGCGGAGAGGAAUGUCACAUUCGAAUUUGUGUAGAAGCCCAUUUCGAUGUUCUUGACUGCGACCUUGAAAGUAAUCGUCUGAUUGACUUUGAAUUCAUCACCUGGCAACGGAGACGUGAUGAGAGUAGAAACCAUGUGUUUUGUUGAUGGAAUCUCGCCCAUGGCUGUGGUGGCAUUAGAGAUAAUCUUGCUAGGAGUUGCAUUGUGGGAACUAAGAGCUACUCACGGAUGCCGUUACAAGAUCCUUCAUUGAUCUUGGUGCCGUUUGUUAAUGUCUUCCCGUUACAGUAGUUGAUGAAGUUGUUCGAUGAACUAUUUCCUCCGUUAGAUGAAUCUAAUUAAAUACCAAAUGCACUGGCGCAUACGUUAG